rnacentral:tRNA from 1 species
AGGGCUGUGGGUCAGUUGAAGAUCCUCUGCUUCAUAUACAGAAGGCCCCAGGUUUGAUCCCUAGCAGCCUUU